GGGGUGCCCCGCGAGGGGAGCCCUAGCACAGGUGCUGCAUGGCCGUCGUCAGCUCGUGCCGUGAGGUGUUGGGUUAAGUCCCGCAACGAGCGCAACCCCGCCGUUAGUUGCCAGCGGUUCGGCCGGGCACUCUAACGGGACUGCCCGCGAAAGCGGGAGGAAGGAGGGGACGACGUCUGGUCAGCAUGGCCCUUACGGCCUGGGCGACACACGUGCUACAAUGCCCACUACAAAGCGAGGCCACCCGGCAACGGGGAGCUAAUCGCAAAAAGGUGGGCCCAGUUCGGAUUGGGGUCUGCAACCCGACCCCAUGAAGCCGGAAUCGCUGGUAAUCGCGGAUCAGCCAUGCCGCGGUGAAUACGUUCCCGGGCCUU
rnacentral:rRNA from 1 species